UGGGCCUUACAACUCAUGCCA
rnacentral:siRNA from 1 species